GACGAACGCUGGCGGCGUGCCUAAUACAUGCAAGUCGAACGCAGUGGGGACGGGCGAGUAACAAGUGGGUAAACUCCCAUCAGAGGGGAUAACACUUGGAAACAGGUGCUAAACCGAUACUGAUGGAUGGACCCGGGGUGCAUUAGCUAGUUGGUCAGGUAACGGGUUACCAAGGCCACGAUGCAUAGCCGGCCUGAGAGGGUGAUCGGCCACACUGUGACAGAGCAACGGCCCAGACUCCUACAGGAGGCAGCAGUGGUGAAUGUUCGGCAAUGGACGAAAGUCUGACCGAGCGACGCAGCGUGAGUGAAGAGGGUUUUCGGUUCGUAAGGCUCUGUUGUUAGAGAAGCGGUAUCUAACCAGAAAGCCACGGCUAACUACGUGCCAGCAGCCGCGGUAAUUC
rnacentral:rRNA from 1 species